AUGACGCCACGCCGCGCAUCCAGACAGAGCCGUGUUUAUUGCCCUGGGGGCGCCCUGGCACCUCCGGGGCUGUGCGAGGGGGGUGCCAGGCCAAGGGGGCUGGACAUGGGGGGGGGGGUGAUGCUGCUGUCUAGGGCACAGGGCUUGGGGGACACUUCUCCCUCCCCACAGCUCAGGUGGGGGCACCCUGCUGCCCAGGGCAGUCGGGAARCCGAGGCACAGAGCUGCGCAGGGGUGGCUGAGCCGGCACCUCCCUGCCAGCAAAACGGGGGGACGCAGGAGCCCGGCUCGGCCCGUUACCCGCGAGGCCUCGCUCCUCCGGGGCACGAGGGCCGGGGGUCCGGCCCGCUGCCAGCCCCGAUGGCUCCUUCCCCAGUCCCGGCCCACCAUGGGGCUGGGCUCUGGGCGAGGAACGCGUGGGGGACAUGGGCUAUCCCAUGUCAUCCCCUGGCUGUCCCUGGGAUACGGCAUGUGCUUGCCCCCGCCUGGCCCCCAGGCCCCCCAUCCCGGGCUGGGGGAGGCAGGAGCAGAGCUGGGUGGGGGGAUCUGGGGACAGCGGCUCCCCUGGGCAGUGCCACAGAGAGCAAGAGGCCUCGGGCGAGCCAGGCCCUUCUCCAGGGCUCUUGGGGGCGCGCGGGGACCGUUCCCUCCAGCCCCAAAUCUUCACCGGCGCCACGUGGGAGGGGCGCAGCACGGCCCAGCCAGGAUGGCGGUGGGGGGACGCAGGCGCUGGCCCCUCUCCGCGCUGUGGGUGGGAGGAGGGACCCGCAGCAGGGGACGCACCCGCCGUGCCGCUCGCCCUGGCUCCCGCAUCCACGGCCCCGGCACGGUGGCAGCCAGUCCAGCUCCGGCGACGGCGUCUCGCUGCCUGCUGCCGGGUCCCAGUCGCUCCCCUCUGGCCGGCGGCGCCCUGCAGGCACAGGGCAGAGCCUGGCACCGGAAGGGGCACGGGCAGAGCCCCGCGGCGGCAGGUGCCCCGGCCCCCGGGCGCGGAGCGGUGCCACACAGCAGCUCCCCAGCGUGUGCUGCCCCAGGGGCUGCGCCGGCUCCCCGCGGGGCCCUGCCCCACGUCUCACCUGGGGCUGCUGCGCCCUCCUCGGAGCAGGCGCUCGCGACCUCCCCGCACGCGUUGCCUGCGCCCCUCCUGGGUGCGCGGGGACGGCAGCACCUCCUCCUCGCCCCGGCUUCGUCCCUCGCUGGACCGUCCUCUCUGGGAGAGCAAACCCUGGAGGGGGAGAUGGCGGAGAGCGGGCGCAGGCUGGCACGGCCCCUUCCCUGCCCACAGCGCCAGGGCCAGCACUGGUUGUCCCCAUCCUGCCGGCCCCCUGCUGCGGGGCUGAGCCCUGGAGAGGGGCAGCUGCCAAAAAGCAGCCCGGAUUGUGCUCCUCCCCGAACGCCACCGGUGCCCAGAAGGCGCCUCGGCCCACAGCGAGCCGGGCAGGCACCACAUGGCCACCCCAAAGCUCCCAUCCCUGCUCCUCACCCACCUCUCACCAGCUGUCCGGCUCCAGCACUCGCGCUCCGAGGGCUGGGGGAUGCCCGAAGGGGCAGGCUGAGUCCACGCACGCGGGACAGGGUCUCUCUCACCUGGACAGACAGACAGACAGAAACCCCCCUCCCCAUAUCCACCUUCAGCCCGGCUCUGGCUCCUGCCUGCAGCUCGUGGCCACCAUCGGUGGGUUUUUAUACAUAAAUAGAGCUCCCAAAUUUAAAUAG
ensembl:lncRNA